GCGCACGGUCGGCCGCGCCGCUCCCUCCCUCCGGCUUUGCGACCGUGCCGUAAGGCAGCCCCUCGCGCGGGCGCGGCUUUGCCGUGCGCGGCGGCAGCCGAGGGACGCUGGCCAUGGCGGCCUUGCGGCCUUCGGGGAGGGCUUUUCUCCCUCCGCUCUGCCGUGCCUUCGCUGGCCCCGGCUGUCAGCGCGCCCCUGAGCGCGGCGCGGAGCGCAGGGAUGCGGCGUCCGGCCGGGUCUCAGGAUUCUGCCCUCCAAGAAAAUCUUGCCAUGAUUGGAUAGGACCCCCAGAUAAACAUUCAAACCUUCGACCCGUUUACUUUUACGUCCCCGAAAACGAAUCACCGUUGGAACAAAAGCUAAGACAAUUAAGACAAGAAACACAAGAAUGGAACCAACAGUUCUGGGCAAACCAGAAUUUGACGUUUCGUAAGGAAAAAGAAGAAUUUAUUCACUCAAGGCUAAAAGCUAGAGGCCUGGAACUGAGAGCUGGAUCAGAGAGACACAGCGAGAGAGGGAACACAAGCAGGGGGAGUGGGAGAGGAAGAAGCAGGCUCCCAAGGAGCAGGGAGCCCGAUGUGGGGCUCGAUCCCAGGACCCUGGGAUCAUGACCUGAGCCGAAGGCAGACGCUUAACGACUGAGCCACCCAGGCGCCCCUAAAAUCUUGAAUAUUAUAUCCAUAUUGGAGACUGGUACAAGCGUAAUUUUGCCAUCACCUUCUUCAUGGGAAAAGUGGCCCUGGAGAGAGUUUGGAACAAGCUUAGACCAAAACCAAAGACCAGCACCUAGGAACCCACCCUGACCCGCCCACUCUGACCCUCCCGCCACUGCUGUCGGAGUUUUCUGGGAGAAGCGGCUGCUCUGGGAAUCCAUUUUACACGGGCUCUAAAAACCUGUAAGUGAAAUGAGUCCCACAGCUACUUUAUGGGGGCCCCUUGGCUUAUGUCAGCACAGGGUGGACUGGGAGAAUGGGAAUCCUGGUGAGCUGUGGGCCAUGUGACUCUGUCCUGACUGUGGAUUCCAAGCUAGCCCUGGGUCAUGGACAUGAUGUUAAAUAAAACACAAGCACUGUGUA